rnacentral:rRNA from 1 species
UACGUAGGGUGCGAGCGUUGUCCGGAAUUAUUGGGCGUAAAGGGCUCGUAGGCGGUUUGUCGCGUCGGGAGUGAAAUCCACUGGCUUAACUGGUGGCUUGCUUUCGAUACGGGCAGACUGGAGGUAUGCAGGGGAGAACGGAAUUCCUGGUGUAGCGGUGAAAUGCGCAGAUAUCGAGGAGGAACACCGGUGCGAAGGCGGUUCUCUGGGCAUGUCCUGACGCUGAGGAGCGAAAGUGUGGGGAGCGAACAGG